UAAAGUUUCAGAAUAGAUCAAUUUUGAAAGGAAACAUACAUUAUGUAUGUAUUAAAUUGAAAAAGUUCAUGCAUAACCGAUAAUAGUUUACGAAAUGUAUAAACAAAAUUACUUCAUUUACCUUUAUUCAUAAAAUCUAAAUGCUGACGAAAUAAAUGACAAAUUUGUGAAGGUUAAAAAGUGGAACGACAGAAAUACUACGAACAUAAUUUCAUCUUUAUUCAUAAAAUCUAAAUGCUGACGACAUAAAUAACAAAUACGUGAAGGUUAAAAAGUGGAACGAGAGAAAUACUACGUACAUAAUUUCGUUUACCUUAAACAAUAACGGCUGGAAAAUAUUUGUUGAACCAUGUCCGACAAGAAACAGUCAAUGAAAAAACCAUUUGAAGAAAACAAAAGUAGGGCUAGGAAGCAAUUUGCCGCAACAGCCGUAUUCAUUGCUAUAUUUUGUGCUUUGGGGAAUUCGCUACCAUUAGACACGUCUCAACUAACGACACCAACAGAUCGUCUGAUAUACACAAUAAGAUGGCUGUUCCUAUCUUCACUGACAAUCAUGCUGGCUAUGUUUGGAGUGUUGAGAGUACGGGGCAGUACAGACGCCAUUGAUCCAUUAAAUGGCUCUUCGGAAAACUUGGUAGAACUGCCAAACCGAAUUUUACGAAAUACAACAGAACAAUUCAUACUUCAUACAUCAGCGGUUUUGACCCUCUCGACCUUUAUGGACGAAAACAGUAUGAGAAAUAUUCCUCUUCUGGUCAUAGUGUUUAUUCUUGGAAGAUUGCUGUAUGCUAUAGGAUAUACUUCUGCUCCUAUGAACAGAGCUCUUGGAUUUAGCUUGACAUUUUGGCCUACGAUUGCAACAUAUAUGUACUGUACAUAUUGUGUGAUAACCACAUUCAUAUUUUAGAUUAAACGUGAGAUUUUGUAUAUUGAAUGUAUGUUCAUGCAUAUCAUAAAUUUGUAAAAAAUAAUAAAAUAAAUGCAAAUAAACUAUUCAUCAAAUGA